rnacentral:rRNA from 1 species
CGGAGGGUGCAAGCGUUAUCCGGAUUCACUGGGUUUAAAGGGUGCGUAGGUGGACUAAUAAGUCAGUGGUGAAAGCCCGCAGCUUAACUGCGGAACUGCCAUUGAUACUGUUAGUCUUGAGUACAGUUGAGGUGGGCGGAAUGUGUCAUGUAGCGGUGAAAUGCUUAGAUAUGACACAGAACACCAAUUGCGAAGGCAGCUCACUAAGCUGUAACUGACACUGAGGCACGAAAGCGUGGGGAGCAAACAGGAUUAGAUACCCUGGUAGUCCACGCCCUAAACGAUGAUUACUCGAUGUUGGCGAUACACUGUCAGCGUCUAAGCGAAAGCAUUAAGUAAUCCACCUGGGGAGUACGACCGCAAGGUUG